rnacentral:rRNA from 1 species
AUUGAACGCUGGCGGCAGGCCUAACACAUGCAAGUCGAACGGUAGCACAGAGAGCUUGCUCUCGGGUGACGAGUGGCGGACGGGUGAGUAACGUCUGGGAAACUGCCCGAUGGAGGGGGAUAACUACUGGAAACGGUAGCUAAUACCGCAUAACGUCGCAAGACAAAAGUGGGGAACCUUCGGGCCUCACACCAUCGGAUGUGCCCAGAGGGGACUAGCUAGUAGGUGGGGUAAUGGCUCACCUAGGCGACGAUCCCUAGCUGGUCUGAGAGGAUGACCAGCCACACUGGAACUGAGACACGGUCCAGACUCCUACGGGAGGCAGCAGUGGGGAAUAUUGCACAAUGGGCGCAAGCCUGAUGCAGCCAUGCCGCGUGUAUGAAGAAGGCCUUCGGGUUGUAAAGUACUUUCAGCGGGGAGGAAGGCGGUGAAGUUAAUAGCUUCACCGAUUGACGUUACCCGCAGAAGAAGCACCGGCUAACUCCGUGCCAGCAGCCGCCGCCGUAA